GACAUCUUAGCUCCAAUCCAAUCAACUUUUAUUCCUUUGGAAGCGUACAGAGUUGGCAGGCCUUUUGAGCCAGUUGUACAGUUAUACCACUGACCUUCCAAUUACAGGCAGGGGCUGAUGGUCCACUCUACUACAGCAAUUCAGUCAGACUACAUCAGUCAUUCAUUUCAUUUCACUCAUCAGAUAGUUUUGUACUGUCAGAAUAAAUAGUCUGGUUAACAAUAACAAAGACAACUUCAGAAAGGUACAAAACAGCUAUAGAGCACUGAAUAUACUGUAUGUUUACAAUUGUAAGCAUAGAAGACUUCACUUAAUAUAAGUUACUGUAGUUUUGUUAUGUCCCGAAGCCCAGUUUACAGUAAAUAUGUAGUGUAGUGUGACCUUUGAUUCUAUUCGAAGGCAUGUCAUGAUGUAAUGACAGAAGAGUAAGGUGCCUAGUACUUGGUUUGGUCUGUGGUACACUGUGUCUGUGUGGGGGGUGGGGGCGGGCAAGGACGAAGGAUGAGUACCCCGCUGGCCCCAUAUAAGAACACAAACACAUGGGUGCAUGACAUCCCACCCGGCGUACAGACACAGCCCAUGUGACCGGCUGGCUCAGAGACAGCUGUGACUGUCUAACUGUGGCCCAGGUCAGAUCCUGGCCCGGAUCACAUGCUGCUUAACCCACGUCCAUGUCAGACCGCUAAUCAGUGACCAAUGUAAACGGACCUCUCAAAGCUAUCUUGGACGAGGCACCGUACCCCGUCUUGUGGAUUGAAAAGAGAUAGAGAGAGUGUGUGUGUGUUUCUGUGUAUGUGUGUGUGUGUGUGUGUGUGUGUGUGUUGGAGGGAAAGCGCUUCAGUGGCAGUGGACACUGACAGAAGUGGUCAUUCCUUGACAUUCCUGCUGGGUUAUGGUGGGGACAUGUAUUACGGUUGGGGCAGGUAUCCUGCUGAGUUAUGGUGGGGACCUGUAUUACGGUUAUGGUGGGGACAGGUAUUACGGUUGGGGCAGGUAUGUUGCUGGGUUAUGGUGGGGACCUGUAUUACGGUUGGGGCAGGUAUCCUGCUGGGUUAUGGUGGGGAUCUGUAUUACGGUUGGGGCAGGUAUCCUGCUGGGUUAUGGUGGGGACCUGUAUUACGGUUGGGGCAGGUAUCCUGCUGAGUUAUGGUGGGGAUCUGUAUUACGGUUGGGGCAGGUAUCCUGCUGGGUUAUGGUGGGGACCUGCAUUACGGUUGGGGCAGGUAUCCUGCUGGGUUAUGGUGGGGACCUGCAUUACAGUUGGGGCAGGUAUCCUGUUGCAGCAGCCCACCCUACUUCUGCCCUUUCCAGAGCACCUCCUCCCAGCAAACCUGUUGCCUAACCAGAGUCCCCCAGACUGGACUGAACGUGCACUUCUUGUACUGUCCCGCCUGUUCUGUAUGGACAUGCAGAUAUGGUACUGUAGCCACACACUGGGGCUGUUCGACAGUACGUAUCAGACGACAGCAAUUUAUCAUUGCAUUAAGACAUCUAAGCGCAGCUUACAUAAAUUCCUGAGUGUCCCAUUUGAGGGAAAUAGCCUUAUUCACCCGAACCCGCCAUCAUGUCUCUUUGCCUGGUGUAGACUACAGACAGCACCAUAGACAGUACAACGUUCAGCUAAGUGGAGUAACAUCAUUGCUUUGAUCCAGUAGUAAUGACAUGAAUGCUGUCCUUUUAAGAAUGUAGUGCAUUAUUUUGGGGUCACCUUGGACUCCAGUCUAUCGGUGUAAUCUGGUUUGUCUGAUACUGGCCCUCUACCUCCUCCACCAUCUCUCCAGCUGACAUAUCUAUUGGUCCUUUGACAGCCCCUCAGACCCACUGUAAUCUAGUCACAGGCUUCUCCUUCAGUCAGCUGUUGUUGCUGGGAUGAAUGGCGACUCGCCUUUACAAAGUGUAUAGGAGUUAAGUGUGUCUCAAUGUCAAAGUGCAGCUGGAAAACUGGAUAGAAGGGGGGAUGAGUGUUGAUUCAUGUGGUCUAAAUAACAUGCAGCUUUAAGAGGCUGGUGCUGACAUUGUUGCAUCGAGAAUGAUGGAUGGUCAGUAGUAUUCUUAGGCACUGGAUAAAAUCAAAGCAACUGUUCAUCAUAAUCAAACAAAUUCUCAAAAUAGGUGUUAUAUUAUUGCUGUAGAAUUGUUAUAUAAUUCAGUAUGUACCAUAAGGCUUUUGGUGCAGUCAGUGUUUGCUGAGAGAGACAGUGAGUAUAUUUAUAGAAGGUUGGAAAGCAGGGCCUAUCUACUUGUCAGUGCUUUUAAAAUUGUGCAUCUUUUUAAAUUGUUGCUGUAUUUAUUUUUUAUUGGAGUUAGAUGGUACCGUAUGGAUGGUGUAUUUUUAUUUCCCUAUGUUUGUUUUUUGUGUUUUAAAUUAGGUUUUGUUUGUGAUGCCUGUUUUGGCCAGUACACUCCUGAAAUAGAUUUGUAAUCUUUCCUGGAUAAAGGUUAAAUAAAAAUAAAUCCCAGCUUCAUUGUUUACCUGGCCCCACUAUCAAUGAUCCCAUUCAGUGUUUACCUGGCCCCUCUAUCAAUGAUCCCAUUCAGGGUUUUAC
ensembl:lncRNA